GGAGGGCAUAGUGUAGGGAGGGCAUAGUGUUGGGAGGGCAUAGUGUUGGGAGGGCAUAGUGUAGUGUAGGGAGGGCAUAGUGUUGGGAGGGCAUAGUGUUGGGAGGGCAUAGUGUAGUGUUGGGAGGGCAUAGUGUAGGGAGGGCAUAGUGUAGUGUUGGGAGUGCAUAGUGUUGGGAGGGCAUAGUGUUGGGAGGGCAUAGUGUAGUGUAGGGAGGGCAUAGUGUAGGGAGGGCAUAGUGUAGUGUUGGGAGUGCAUAGUGUUGGGAGGGCAUAGUGUUGGGAGGGCAUAGUGUAGUGUAGGGAGGGCAUAAUGUAGGGAGGGCAUAGUGUUGGUAGGGCAUAGUGUUGGGAGUGCAUAGUGUUGGGAGGGCAUAGUGUUGGGAGGGCAUAGUGUAGGGUGGGCAUAGUAUUGGGAGUGCAUAGUGUUGGGAGGGCAUAGUGUUGGGAGGGCAUAGUGUAGGGAGGGCAUAGUGGGGGAGUAGGAGGGCAUAGUGUUGGGAGGGAAUAGUGUAGUGAGGGCAUAGUGUAGGGAGGGCAUAGUGUAGUGUUGGGAGGGCAUAGUGUUGGGAGGGCAUAGUGUAGUGUUGGGAGGGCAUAGUGUUGGGAGG
rnacentral:lncRNA from 1 species